rnacentral:rRNA from 1 species
UACGUAGGGGGCUAGCGUUGUCCGGAAUCAUUGGGCGUAAAGAGCGUGUAGGCGGCCCGGUAAGUCCGCUGUAAAAGUCAAAGGCUCAACCUUUGAAUGUCAGUGGAUACUGCCGGGCUAGAGUCCGGAAGAGGCGAGUGGAACUCCUGGUGUAGCGGUGGAAUGCGCAGAUAUCGGGAGGAACACCAGUAGCGGAGGCGGCUCGCUGGGCCACACCUGACGCUGAGACGUGAAAGCUAGGGGAGCGAACGAGG